rnacentral:rRNA from 1 species
AUUGAACGCUGGCGGCAGGCCUAACACAUGCAAGUCGAGCGAGCGGCGGACGGGUGAGAAAUGUAUGGGGACUGCCCGAUAGAGGGGGAUAACUACUGGAGACGGUAGCUCAUACCGCAUACUACCGGAUAAUCCAUAUGGGAGUAGCUAGUGGGUGAGGUAAUGGCUCACCUAGGCGACGAUCCCUAGCUGGUCUGAGAGGAUGAUCAGCCACACUGGAACUGAGACACGGCCCAGACUCCUACGGAGGCAGCAGUGGGGAAUAUUGCACAAUGGGCGCAAGCCUGAUGCAGCCAUGCCGCGUGUAUGAAGAAGGCCUUAGGGUUGUAAAGUACUUUCAGUCGGGAGGCGUUACCGACAGAAGAAGCACCGGCUAACUCCGUGCCAGCAGCCGCGGUAAUUC